rnacentral:rRNA from 1 species
CAACUCGCCUACAUGAAGUCGGAAUCGCUAGUAAUCGCGGAUCAGCAUGCCGCGGUGAAUACGUUCCCGGGCCUUGUACACACCGCCCGUCACACCAUGAGAGUUUGUAACACCCAAAGCCGGUGGGGUAACCUUUUGGAGCCAGCCGUCUAAGGUGGGACAGAUGAUUGGGGUGAAGUCGUAACAAGGUAGC